rnacentral:rRNA from 1 species
UACGUAGGGGGCAAGCGUUGUCCGGAUUUACUGGGCGUAAAGAGCGUGUAGGCGGCCAAUCAGGUCCGUUGUGAAAACUGGAGGCUUAACCUCCAGACGUCGACGGAAACCGCGUGGCUAGAGUCCGGAAGAGGAGAGUGGAAUUCCUGGUGUAGCGGUGAAAUGCGCAGAUAUCAGGAAGAACACCAAUGGCGAAGGCAGCUCUCUGGGACGGUACUGACGCUGAGACGCGAAAGCGUGGGGAGCGAACAGG